rnacentral:rRNA from 1 species
AUUGGACGAAAGUCUGACGGAGCAACGCCGCGUGAGUGAUGAAGGUUUUCGGAUCGUAAAGCUCUGUUGUUAGGGAAGAACAAGUGCAAGAGUAACUGCUUGCACCUUGACGGUACCUAACCAGAAAGCCACGGCUAACUACGUGCCAGCAGCCGCGGUAAUACGUAGGUGGCAAGCGUUGUCCGGAAUUAUUGGGCGUAAAGGGCUCGCAGGCGGUUUCUUAAGUCUGUAUGUGAAAGCCCCCGGCUCAACCGGGGAGGGUCAUUGGAAACUGGGAAACUUGAGUGCAGAAGAGGAGAGUGGAAUUCCACGUGUAGCGGUGAAAUGCGUAGAGAUGUGGAGGAACACCAGUGGCGAAGGCGACUCUCUGGUCUGUAACUGACGCUGAGGAGCGAAAGCGUGGGGAGCGAACAGGAUUAGAUACCUGGUAGUCCACGCCCGUAAACGAUGAGUGCUAAGUGUUAGGGGUUUCCGCCCCUUAGUGCUGCAGCUAACGCAUUAACACUCCGCCUGG